rnacentral:rRNA from 2 species
GGAUGAGCCCGCGUAGGAUUAGCUAGUUGGUGAGGUAAAAGCUCACCAAGGCGACGAUCCUUAGCUGGUCUGAGAGGAUGAUCAGCCACACUGGGACUGAGACACGGCCCAGACUCCUACGGGAGGCAGCAGUGGGGAAUAUUGGACAAUGGGCGAAAGCCUGAUCCAGCAAUGCCGCGUGAGUGAUGAAGGCCUUAGGGUUGUAAAGCUCUUUUACCCGGGAUGAUAAUGACAGUACCGGGAGAAUAAGC